rnacentral:rRNA from 1 species
UACGGGGGGGGCGAAGCGUUGUUCGGAAUUACUGGGCGUAAAGGGUUCGUAGGUGGCCAACUAAGUCAGACGUGAAAUCCCUCAGCUUAACUGGGGAACUGCGUCUGAUACUGGUUGGCUUGAGUGCAGGGGAGGAGCGCGGAAUUCCAGGUGUAGCGGUGAAAUGCGUAGAUAUCUGGAGGAACACCGGUGGCGAAGGCGGCGUUCUGGACUGCAACUGACACUGAGGAACGAAAGCCAGGGUAGCAAACGGG